CGGACGGGUGAGUAACGCGUGGGUAACCUGCCUCAUACAGGGGGAUAACAGUUAGAAAUGACUGCUAAUACCGCAUAAGCGCACAAAACCGCAUGGUUUGGUGUGAAAAACUGAGGUGGUAUGAGAUGGACCUGCGUCUGAUUAGCUAGUUGGAGAGGUAACGGCUCACCAAGGCGACGAUACAUAGGGGGACUGAGAGGUCAACCCCCCACAUUGGUACUGAGACACGGACCAGACUCCUACGGAAGGCAGCAG
rnacentral:rRNA from 1 species